rnacentral:ncRNA from 2 species
AGGCGAAAAGGGCAAACCUGCCGAAAGGCGGGGACGCAAAGCUUGGGAGUCUAAAUCAUGCUCGGCGGAAUCCGCCGCGGGUGAUAUGACAGUCCGGCCGCAUGG